rnacentral:lncRNA from 1 species
AGCCUCUACAGCCAAAAGCUUCAAGCACAACAGAAAAACGCGACAUGGACAAUACUGCUCCUUGGUACAGAUACGGAGUUGUCCUGGAAUUUCAGGAAAGCAGCAAAUAUCUUCUUGGGAAAUUCUCUGAUUGAAUUUCUUGAAGAAUCCAAUUUUAGAAUCCUUAAUCUCACUCAUAGUAUCACCCCCCGCGAGAAAGUGCUUGAUGUAAUCACACAAGCCAAAGGCCAAGCCCAGCUGCUUCAUGAGCCAGGCAGGUAAA